AGCGGCGGACGGGUGAGUAACACGUGGGUAACCUGCCCAAGAGACUGGGAUAACACCUGGAAACAGAUGCUAAUACCGGAUAACAACACUAGACGCAUGUCUAGAGUUUGAAAGAUGGUUCUGCUAUCACUCUUGGAUGGACCUGCGGUGCAUUAGCUAGUUGGUAAGGUAACGGCUUACCAAGGCAAUGAUGCAUAGCCGAGUUGAGAGACUGAUCGGCCACAUUGGGACUGAGACACGGCCCAAACUCCUACGGGAGGCAGCAGUAGGGAAUCUUCCACAAUGGACGAAAGUCUGAUGGAGCAACGCCGCGUGAGUGAAGAAGGGUUUCGGCUCGUAAAGCUCUGUUGGUAGUGAAGAAAGAUAGAGGUAGUAACUGGCCUUUAUUUGACGGUAAUUACUUAGAAAGUCACGGCUAACUACGUGCCAGCAGCCGCGGUAAUACGUAGGUGGCAAGCGUUGUCCGGAUUUAUUGGGCGUAAAGCGAGUGCAGGCGGUUCAAUAAGUCUGAUGUGAAAGCCUUCGGCUCAACCGGAGAAUUGCAUCAGAAACUGUUGAACUUGAGUGCAGAAGAGGAGAGUGGAACUCCAUGUGUAGCGGUGGAAUGCGUAGAUAUAUGGAAGAACACCAGUGCCGAAGGCGGCUCUCUGGUCUGCAACUAACGCUGAGGCUCGAAAGCAUGGGUAGUGAACAGGAUUAGAUACCCUGGUAGUCCAUGCCGUAAACGAUGAGUGCUAAGUGU
rnacentral:rRNA from 1 species